rnacentral:rRNA from 1 species
GUAGGUGGCAAGCGUUGUCCGGGAAUUAUUGGGGCGUAAAGCGCGCGCAGGCGGUUCUUUAAGUCUGAUGUGAAAGCCCACGGGCUCAACCGUGGAGGGUCAUUGGAAACUGGAGAACUUGAGUACAGAAGAGGAAAGCGGAAUUCCACGUGUAGCGGUGAAAUGCGUAGAGAUGUGGAGGAACACCAGUGGCGAAGGCGGCUUUCUGGUCUGUAACUGACGCUGAGGCGCGAAAGCGUGGGGAGCAAACAGGAUUAGAUACCCUGAUAGUCCACGCCGUAAACGAUGAGUGCUAAGUGUUAGGGGGUUUCCGCCCCUUAGUGCUGCAGCUAACGCAUUAAGCACUCCGCCUGGGGAGUACGGCCGCAAAGGCUG